UUUUCGAAAUAUUAGGUCUCC
ensembl:piRNA 21ur-20 ncRNA